UACGGAAGGCAGCAGUGGGGAAGUAUUGCACAAUGGGCGCAAGCCUGAUGCAGCCAUGCCGCGUGUAUGAAGAAGGCCUUCGGGUUGUAAAGUACUUUCAGUCGUGAGGAAGGUGUUAAGGUUAAUAACCUUAGCAAUUGACGUUAGCGACAGAAGAAGCACCGGCUAACUCCGUGCCAGCAGCCGCGGUAAUACGGAGGGUGCGAGCGUUAAUCGGAAUUACUGGGCGUAAAGGGCACGCAGGCGGUUAAUUAAGUUGGAUGUGAAAUCCCCGGGCUUAACCUGGGAAUGGCAUUCAAGACUGGUUAGCUAGAGUCUUGUAGAGGGGGUAGAAUUCCAUGUGUAGCGGUGAAAUGCGUAGAGAUGUGGAGGAAUACCGGUGGGCGAAGGCGGGCCCCUGGGACAAAGACUGACGCUCAUGUGCGAAAGCGUGGGGAGCAAACAGGGAUUAGAUACCC
rnacentral:rRNA from 1 species